AGACAUCAGGGAAGCGCGAACGCAAGGUCCCCCAGACUACCAUAAAUUAAUGCAAUCGAGAUUCCCAAUGUGGAAAUCUCGAUUGCAUAAUUUAUGUUAGUGGGGGACUGCGUUCGCGCUCUCCCCUG
ensembl:snRNA U1 U1 spliceosomal RNA